ACAAACUUGGUCAUUUAGAGGAAGUAAAAGUCGUAACAAGGUAUCCGUAGGUGAACCUGCGGAUGGAUCAUUACCAAUUUAACUUUGCUGGUUUGUACCGGACCCGUGUGGCACGGUACACAACUACCAUGUAAACGUUGAACUUGAUCAUUAGUGCUGUGGACUGUCGGCCUGAGUUAUUUCAGGCAGGCACUCCCCACACUGAUACCAUUUUAUAUAUAUCAUAUACUACUCGUAUAUACUACAAACAAACAAACAAAAACACAGUUUUAAUAGGACUUAUCAUGGACCGAGUGGGUAACAGCCUCAGUCUUAAAAAAAUAAUAAUAACUAUUACAACUUUCAGCAAUGGAUCUCUAGGCUCUCGCAUCGAUGAAGAACGCAGC
rnacentral:misc_RNA from 1 species